AGAGGCGGAAAAAGAAUUAAAAAAAAGAAAAAAAUGGCAAAAAGACUAAUAUACCCUCGCUCUCAAGCCCUAUCUGCUGUGUCUCUCUCACUCUCUCUCUUCUCAGUCGACAGGCACCAGAAGGCAGGAGGGGGCUGCGGCGGUGAGCAGAGGCGGCGGCGGCGGCGGCUCGCGGCCACGGCGGCAGCGCAUGGCGGUUGCGCGUGCGGGGGACGCUCGCGGCAGNNNNNNNNNNNNNNNNNNNNNNNNNNNNNCGGGGACGGCUCGCGAGCAGGGGCGAUGCUUUCCUUUAACUGCAUGUAAGCUGUAAAGAUUGGGAGCAGCAAUACAUGCCUUUGUUCUUUGCUUGUAAUCAUCUCACUCGAUCGCUCAUCAUGUAAAGAUUUGGGUGAAUGAGCAUCAUGUUUGUUCUGUGGGAUCCAAUUUCUUGCUACCGCAAAACUACGAUAAGAUGGGAGUAUAUUGUCACUGUAUGCAAUUUGAUAAUUUUGGGCAAUAUGCUAUCAAAAUUUAGGCAAAACCAUAUCACAAUUUUGUUAAAUUAAUUCAAUUUUGAGCUAAAUUUAGUUUAAAUUUUAGUACCAUUUGUCAAUUUAAUCAAACUUAAGUCAAAUAUCAAACAAAUUUGUCUCAAAUAUUAAACAUAAAUUAUGACAAUUAAAUUAUUUGUUAAACGGACAAAUGUGCAAAAUUGGGCCAAAUGUGUAAUAAGCAUUUACAGAGUAGGAUCAAAUAUACAAGGGUAAAAAUAUCCACUCAUGUCUCAUUUAACACUGUUAGGCUCACUUGACAGACUAGAGUCAGUCGGUCGCUUCAAAUUUGAAAAAUAGGUCAAAAUUAUAAAGUGAAAAAAAUAGAGUCAAAUGUGC
rnacentral:lncRNA from 1 species